UACGUGGGUGGCAAGCGUUGUCCGGAUUUACUGGGCGUAAAGAGCGCGCAGGCGGUCGUUCAAGUCGCGUGUGAAAGCCCCCGGCUCAACUGGGGAGGGUCACGCGAUACUGAUCGACUCGAAGGCAGGAGAGGGAAGUGGAAUUCCCGGUGUAGUGGUGAAAUGCGUAGAUAUCGGGAGGAACACCAGUGGCGAAGGCGACUUCCUGGCCUGUUCUUGACGCUGAGGCGCGAAAGCUAGGGGAGCAAACGGG
rnacentral:rRNA from 1 species